rnacentral:misc_RNA from 1 species
GAAAUGCGAUACUUAGUGUGAAUUGCAGAAUUCAGUGAAUCAUCGAGACCUUGAACGCAAAUUGCACCUGCGGUCAUCCGCAGGUACGCCUGUUUGAGUGCCUCUCAAACUGCCCCCAAAGGGGCGACUUGGGUGUCCGGACGCCGGUCCGGUCGCCUCAAAUGCGUUGCGCGGCCGAGGGUCACGUCUCCUCCGGUUCCAAAACGGCACGGUGAGCUUACCGUCUUGUCGCUAGUAAGACCGGGGCUUGACCCGCUCAGUCGGUUGCGCGGAGGAAGGUGCCGCUGCGGCGGCACGCAGGGGGACCGUCGUAUCCCCCGAAACACCCUGUCCUCAAAUCAGGCGAGACUACCCGCUGAACUUAA